UACAUGGGGUGCAAACGUUGCUCGGAAUUAUUGGGCGUAAAGCGCGCGUAGGCGGUUACUCAAGUCGGAUGUGAAAGCCCUCGGCUUAACUGAGGAAGUGCACCCGAAACUGAGUAGCUAGAGUACUAAAGAGGGUCGCGGAAUUCCCGGUGUAGAGGUGAAAUCCGUAGAUAUCGGGAGGAACACCGGUGGCGAAGGCGGCGACCUGGGUAGAUACUGACGCUGAGGAGCGAAAGCGUGGGGAGCGAACAGG
rnacentral:rRNA from 1 species